UUAUUGCUCUUCAACGAGGAAUCCUUUGUAAGCGUGAGUCAUCAGCUCGCGUUGAUUACGUCCCCGCCCUUUGUACACACCGCCCGUCGCUACUACCGAUUGAAUGGCUUAGUGAGACCUUCGGAUUGGUAUUCGGUGGCUGCCACAUUUACUGUUCUCUGAAAAUUGGUCAAACUUGGUCAUUUAAGGAAGUAAAGUCGUAAAGGUUUCCGUUGGUGAAAUUGCGGAAGGAUC
rnacentral:misc_RNA from 1 species